rnacentral:rRNA from 1 species
UGGGGAAUUUUGCACAAUGGGCGCAAGCCUGCUGCAGCGACGCCGCGUGGGGGAUGACGGCCUUCGGGUUGUAAACUCCUUUCGCUAGGGACGAAGCUUUUUGUGACGGUACCUAGAUAAGAAGCACCGGCUAACUACGUGCCAGCAGCCGCGGUAAUACGUAGGGUGCGAGCGUUGUCCGGAAUUACUGGGCGUAAAGGGCUCGUAGGUGGUUUGUCGCGUCGUCUGUGAAAUUCCGGGGCUUAACUCCGGGCGUGCAGGCGAUACGGGCAUAACUUGAGUACUGUAGGGGUAACUGGGAUUCCUGGUGUAGCGGUGAAAUGCGCAGAUAUCAGGAGGAACACCGAUGGCGAAGGCAGGUUACUGGGCAGUUACUGACGCUGAGGAGCGAAAGCAUGGGUAGCGAACAGG